GGAGCGGGAACGGGAAUGGGAACGGGAACGGUCCCCUCAGGGAGCAAAGGGAACGGGAACGGCCCGGGUCCCUCGGGGCCCGGGGGAGCGGCGGUACCGACACAGGCGGGGCCGCCCCGGCCCCCUCGGAGCGGCCGGGCCCGAGCGCGGCUCUCGCUGCCCUGCCGUGUUACUGUGCGGGGCUGUGGGGCCGGGCGGGAGCGCGGGGUGUCUGUGUGUCCGUGUGGGGGUGUCUGUGUGUCCGUGUGGGGGUGUCUGUGUGUCCCUGUGGGGGUGUCUGUGUGUCCGUGUGGAGGUGUCUGUGUGUCGGUGUGGGGGUGUCUGUGUGUCCGUGUGGAGGUGUCUGUGUGUCCAUGUGGGGGUGUCUGUGUGUCCAUGUGGGGUGUCUGUGUGUCCCUGUGGGGUGUCUGUGUGUCCGUGUGGGGGUGUCUGUGUGUCCGUGUGGGGGUGUCCGUGUGUCCGUGUGGGGGUGUCUGUGUGUCCGUAUGGAGGUGUCUGUGUGUCCGUGUGGGGGUGUCUGUGUGUCCGUGUGGGGGUGUCCGUGUGUCCGUGUGGGGGUGUCCGUGUGUCCGUAUGGAGGUGUCUGUGUGUCCAUGUCUGUGUGUCCAUGUGGGGGUGUCUGUGUGUCCGUCUGGGGGUGUCUGUGUGUCCGUAUGGAGGUGUCUGUGUGUCCGAAGGGCCGCGCUGCGCUUUGUGCUCGAAACCGGGAAUUGAAAGCGCUGGAAAAACGCCUUUGAGAACCCGCGUGUGCUCGCCGCGAGCUCUUGGCACAGGUUGGGCAGAGAAGCUGUGGCUGCCCCUGGAUCCCUGGAAGUGUCCAAGGCCAGGUUGGACGGGGCUUGGAGCAACCUGGGCUGGUGGAAGGUGUCCCUGCCCGUGGCAGGGGGUGGGAAUGGAUGUAAGGUCCCUUCCAGCCCACACCGAUCUGGGAUUCCGUGAUGCUCCCUCCGCUCCACCCUGUCCUGCUCCACUGCCCUCCCACCUGCCGUGGCAAAUUAACGGAUUUAAAUAGAUGACGCUUUCCUGUUCUCAAUAAAUUAAUUCUAUCCCAGGCAGCUUGAAUAUCCCA